rnacentral:snRNA from 1 species
AGCUUUGUGCAGUGGCACUACCGUAGCCAAUGAGGUUUAUCCGAGGGACGAUUAUUGCUAAUUGAAGGUAACACAGACACAUUCUACAGAGUGUGAGGCUGAUGGGGAAGUCCUCCACCUCUCUGCAUAUAUACAUGCCUACAACUGAUUUUCUUGAGACAGUGUCUGAACAGUGUCAUACUG